UGGGGAAUAUUGCACAAUGGAGGGAACUCUGAUGCAGCGACGCCGCGUGAGUGAUGAAGGAAUUCGUUUCGUAAAACUCUGUUCUAUGGGAAGAAAAGGACUGUACCAUAGGAGAAAGCUCCGGCUAAAUACGUGCCAGCAGCCGCGGUAAUACGUAUGGAGCGAGCGUUGUCCGGAAUUAUUGGGCGUAAAGGGUGCGCAGGCGGCUUUACAAGUUGGAUGUGAAAUAUUGUGCUCAACCACAAACGUGCAUCCAAAACUGCAAAGCUUGAGUUAAGGAGAGGUAAGUGGAAUUCCUGGUGUAGCGGUGGAAUGCGUAGAUAUCAGGAGGAAUACCGGUGGCGAAGGCGACUUACUGGAAUUAAACUGACGCUCAGGCACGAAAGCGUGGGGAGCAAACAGG
rnacentral:rRNA from 1 species